CCUCCAUGAGCACAUGCCUUCCCCUAUCAUUCUCCGCUAAGAGUGUGCUACCCCACCCAUUCACCCACUACCAUCUCACCCCUCUAACAUUUCGCUUCUUUAGGGCAUCCUAAAGUCUCCACAGGACCAAGCACAUCCCUGCCCACUGAGGCCAGAGAAGGAAGUCCUCUGCUACCUAUGUAGCAGGGCCAUGGAUCUGCCCAUGUUUGCCCUUUGGUUGAUGGUUGCAGUCCUUCAGUUCUUCAGCUCUAACUCUUCCUCAGGAGUCCCUGACCUCAUUCCAGUGCUUGGCUACACAGUUCUGAGCAUUUCGAAUGCACUGAGUCCCAGCUCCGGAACAAGGAUACUCUUAUCAGUCUCACUUCAUAGAUAAGAAGAAAGUGAUGUCUAGAGGAAGGAGACCAGGCUUGGGCCCGAUGACCCAGUAGCAGGACCUGAGAAGAGGAGAGUCUGCGGAGGGGAUUUUCUCCAUGCUGUACAUUUACAGUGACUGAGGGAAAGAGUCACCUCUUUGUCACAAAGAAGAUCUUGGUGCCCCACUCACCAUCCAGCGAGGCUGCCGUGCUUGCCCCUAUAGCUCCUAAAACAACACAGUUUCCUUAUGAGGAGGCAGGAGAAUGUAGAAUCUGCCAAUGGGAGGCCAGAGAAUUCUCAGACCUGCAUCCGACAGAGCCUUUGACAGGCACAGUCCCCAAAGAGCAGAGGUGAAAAGCACAUUCAUGUACCUGAGGUGAAAGACCACCAUUAAAAAUAAAUAAGAAACUCCAAA